CCUACGGGAGGCAGCAGUGGGGAAUCUUGCGCAAUGGGCGAAAGCCUGACGCAGCAACGCCGCGUGCGGGAAGAAGGCUUUCGGGCUGUAAACCGCUUUCAGCAGGAACGAAAAUGACGGUACCUGCAGAAGAAGGAGCGGCCAACUAUGUGCCAGCAGCCGCGGUGAUACAUAGGCUUCAAGCGUUGUCCGGAUUUAUUGGGCGUAAAGAGUUCGUAGGCGGUCGAGUAAGUCGGGUGUGAAAAUUCUGGGCUCAACCCAGAGACGCCACCCGAUACUGCUUGACUUGAGUUCGAUAGGGGAGUGGGGAAUUCCUAGUGUAGCGGUGAAAUGCGCAGAUAUUAGGAGGAACACCGGUGGCGAAGGCGCCACUCUGGAUCGAUACUGACGCUGAGGAACGAAAGCAUGGGUAGCAAACAGGAUUAGAUACCCUGGUAGUCCAUGCCGUAAACGGUGGGCACUAGGUGUGGGUUUCUAUUAACGAAAUCCGCGCCGUCGCUAACGCAUUAAGUGCCCCCGCCGUCGGGAGGUACGGUCGCGAGAACUAAACUACAAUAGAAGUUAGACGGCGUGAGACGUGCCGAACGGACGACGACGAGGGAGGUAGG
rnacentral:rRNA from 1 species